GCUGAAAGGGCGAGGAACCAAGGGCGCAAAUAUCCCCUAAGGAGAAAACGCGCGGAUCCUUUCAAGUCGGGUCGGGUCGCGUGGUUAAAGCUCGAAACGGCGCCGUUUUGGUGUAAAUGAAACUACGUCGUUUAAUGCAAUUAUAAAAGCCCAAAAAAAAAACAAAAAUUCAUUUCAGCCCUUGCUUCAAAAAAAAACUGAAGAGUGACUCAAAGCCUCUCUCCCUCUCCUCUUCUCCGGCCAAUAUGGCCACCAUCUGUCCGUCGGCUACCCGCCGGCCACCGGCGACGGCACCGCCGUGCAUGGUGGCCGGGAAACCCAAAAGUGCCCCUUUUUUAGCCCGUUUUAAGCCUAGAUUUUAGAUCUAGAAGACAAAUGCCUGAAAAGUAAAAAAAAAAAAGAAGAAGAAAAGAUUCGACCUUUGCCCCCUUUUUUACCGAUCUCGACGCCGGGAAAAAGACCACCGACGGAGGGGCCACGGGCCGAUUCUGGUAAGUUUGCUUUCCUUUUUAUUUGUUAAAACACUUGUAAAGAAAAUAAAUAAAUAAAAGAUGAAUAAAAAAGAAAACAAAAAAUGAAACAAUAGAAUCUCAACCUUUUCCUUCUAUUUAGGAAUUUAAAGGUCAUAAAUAAAAGUAAGUACUGUAUGAUAUAUAUAUAAAAUGUAUAGAUCGGGAAAAGGUAGAUUAAUUAAUCUCAGUUUUCAGCCAUUUCACUUUCAAAUCAACGUACCCACAAGAUCCUCUAAAUCCCAGAAAUGUAUAAGUUCUUAUCAUAUUUUUUCUGUUCGAAAUGAUCAUUUUAUCCUUCAUUAUCUGCAAUAACAUAGCUUCAUGUCUUAUCUACUUACGAUGUAAAAACAAAGUUUUUAUCUUAAAUUUUAUUUAAAUGUAGAAGCUAAUUAGAUGUUAUAAUCAUAAAUUUUCUUGUAUAUAACUUCGAUGAAAAAAAAAGGGUGGAUUUUGGAGAAAUUUACUAAAGAAAUGAAAGGAAGUUUAUAUCUUCCUUCAAUAUGUGUAUUAACAAAUAUUAUUUAGGCAUUUUGCUUUCACAAAUUUUGAGUAUAAUUUUGUAUUUUCCCAUUCCCCCACUUUGAUCCAUAAACAUCCCCAUCUAACCGAUUGCCUACUAUGCUUCAGCAAAUGGUUGCCAUUUUAUGCAACAAUGGAAUCCAAAGGAACUGAUCACCAUUUCAUGCAGAUUCAUUUGUUUGUCUGCACCUCAACAAUAUGACAGGAGCCACCAACAUCCACACUGCAACAAAUAUCAAGUCCUUAAGGAUCGUCCGAAACUCAUCGAUAAUAGUCGAGUUAUGUACUUACAGUAAACACUGACGGCUAGCCAUUCGUU
rnacentral:lncRNA from 1 species